rnacentral:rRNA from 1 species
UACGUAGGGUGCAAGCGUUAAUCGGAAUUACUGGGCGUAAAGCGUGCGCAGGCGGUUCUAUAAGACAGAUGUGAAAUCCCCGGGCUCAACCUGGGAACUGCAUUUGUGACUGUAGAGCUGGAGUACGGCAGAGGGGGAUGGAAUUCCGCGUGUAGCAGUGAAAUGCGUAGAUAUGCGGAGGAACACCGAUGGCGAAGGCAAUCCCUUGGGCCUGCACUGACGCUCAUGCACGAAAGCGUGGGGAGCAAACAGG